rnacentral:rRNA from 1 species
UACGUAGGUCCCGAGCGUUGUCCGGAUUUAUUGGGCGUAAAGCGAGCGCAGGUGGUUUAUUAAGUCUGGUGUAAAAGGCAGUGGCUCAACCAUUGUAUGCAUUGGAAACUGGUUGACUUGAGUGCAGAAGAGGGAAGUGGAAUUCCAUGUGUAGCGGUGAAAUGCGUAGAGAUAUGAAGGAACACCAGUGGCGAAGGCGGCUUCCUGGUCUGCAACUGACACUGAGGCGCGAAAGCGUGGGGAGCAAACAGG